GUCCAGGAGCGGGAAUCGAACCCACAACCUUCUGCUUACCGGGCAGGUGCCAUGUCCACUACGCUAUCCUGGA